AAUAACCGUCGUUUAUUUGAAAAAAUGGCGGCGCCGGCAGAUCUGCACACAAGUGGAGAUGUGGUGUUUAAAUAUUUCUGGAGAAAAUGGACCUGUCCAGUAAAAUAACACCAGCACAAGCAAAGAAAAAGUGGGACAAAUAAAAAAAAAAAAGUAUAAGGGGUACCCACCAUCGCCGAGGAGGAAAAAGCCCUGAGGUGGAUACUUUGCCUGUUUGUAAAUGGGGCUGUUCUUAAGCACCCGUGAGUUGUGGACACUCCCGGGGUACCCUACAAAAAUGUCUAAAAAUGCCCCUUGAUGGUCGCAUAUCCCUUGAAGCAGGAUGGAGGCAAACGGCUUUCUGUUUUU